GUGGGGAAUAUUGGACAAUGGGCGAAAGCCUGAUCCAGCCAUGCCGCGUGUGUGAAGAAGGUCUUCGGAUUGUAAAGCACUUUAAGUUGGGAGGAAGGGCAGUAAGUUAAUACCUUGCUGUUUUGACGUUACCGACAGAAUAAGCACCGGCUAACUUCGUGCCAGCAGCCGCGGUAAUACGAAGGGUGCAAGCGUUAAUCGGAAUUACUGGGCGUAAAGCGCGCGUAGGUGGUUUUGUAAGUUGGAGGUGAAAUCCCCGGGCUCAACCUGGGAACUGCCUCCAAAACUGCAUGACUAGAGUACGGUAGAGGGUAGUGGAAUUUCCUGUGUAGCGGUGAAAUGCGUAGAUAUAGGAAGGAACACCAGUGGCGAAGGCGACUACCUGGACUGAUACUGACGCUGAGGCACGAAAGCGUGGGGAUCGAACAGGAUUAGAAACCCCGGUAGUCC
rnacentral:rRNA from 1 species